rnacentral:ncRNA from 1 species
AUCUUCGGGGCAGGGUGAGAUUCCCUACCGGCGGUUAUAGCCCGCGAGCUAUUAAAUAUAGCAUGAUUUGGUGAGAUUCCAAAGCCGACAGUAUAGUCUGGAUGAGAGAAGAG